AGCAGUUUCCCCCCCCUAACACACAUCUCUGCUGCCUUUGUCCUCUUCUGUCCUGCAGAAACAAGCGAUUUCGCAUUGCACUCGGUCGGCUCAUUCCCGCAAGUCACGUCUCUGUCUCGCUGUGCGAUUCCAUUCUUUGGGUGGCAGGUGUCCCGGUGCGUCGACGUCCUAACACCGGACAAGUGAUGCUCUGAGCUGUACUGUUGCUCCCCAGUCGCCUCACAUCUCUGCAGCAAACCGGGCUGGAAAUGGUCCCAAGCUCAACUAACCGGCGGCGUUCAGAGGUUAGACUCUCAGUCAACAGAGGGUCACAGCUACAAACACAUCACCCACCCUCUUCCUCCUGCCUGGCGAAAGUCGUACGUCUGCUGCCUGCAUUCAUCUAAACAGCAGUGAAGACAGACAGCAAACUUACAGUGUAGUAGUACAGUACUGCCUGGAGUGUGUGUGUGUGUGUGUGUGUGCGUGUGCUUCAGUGCCUUUAGUGUUCCCCAAGCCCUCCACCCUGUGUGUGUGCAAUGAUGUGUGGUUGUGUCAAGGUGGAGAGUUAAGAGGAAAACAGGACCC